UACGGAGGGUGCAAGCGUUGUCCGGAAUCACUGGGCGUAAAGGGCGCGUAGGCGGCUCAUGAAGGCUGUGGUGAAAGUCCGGGGCUCAACCUCGGAUCGGCCGUGGCGACUCGUGGGCUGGAGCACUGUAGAGGCGGGUGGAAUUCCGGGUGUAGCGGUGGAAUGCGUAGAGAUCCGGAAGAACACCAGUGGCGAAGGCGGCCCGCUGGGCAGUGGCUGACGCUGAGGAGCGAAAGCAUGGGGAGCGAACAGG
rnacentral:rRNA from 1 species